rnacentral:rRNA from 1 species
CACUGCCGAGAAAAGCCUCUAGAUAGAAAAUAGGUGCCCGUACCGCAAACCGACACAGGUAGUCAAGAUGAGAAUUCUAAGGUGAGCGAGCGAACUCUCGUUAAGGAACUCGGCAAAAUGACCCCGUAACUUCGGGAGAAGGGGUGCUCUUUAGGGUUAACGCCCAGAAGAGCCGCAGUGAAUAGGCCCAAGCGACUGUUUAUCAAAAACACAGGUCUCUGCUAAACCGUAAGGUGAUGUAUAGGGGCUGACGCCUGCCCGGUGCUGGAAGGUUAAGAGGAGUGGUUAGCUUCUGCGAAGCUACGAAUCGAAGCCCCAGUAAACGGCGGCCGUAACUAUAACGGUCCUAAGGUAGCGAAAUUCCUUGUCGGGUAAGUUCCGACCCGCACGAAAGGCGUAACGAUUUGGGCACUGUCUCAACG